rnacentral:rRNA from 1 species
AACGAACGCUGGCGGCAUGCCUAACACAUGCAAGUCGAACGAGACCUUCGGGUCUAGUGGCGCACGGGUGCGUAACGCGUGGGAACCUGCCCUUAGGUUCGGAAUAACUCCCCGAAAGGGGUGCUAAUACCGGAUAAUGUCUUCGGUCCAAAGAUUUAUCGCCUUUGGAUGGGCCCGCGUUGGAUUAGCUAGUUGGUAGGGUAAAAGCCUACCAAGGCGACGAUCCAUAGCUGGUCUGAGAGGAUGAGCAGCCACACUGGGACUGGGACACGGCCCAGACUCCUACGGGAGGCAGCAGUGGGGAAUAUUGGACAAUGGGCGAAAGCCUGAUCCAGCAAUGCCGCGUGAGUGAUGAAGGCCUUAGGGUUGUAAAGCUCUUUUACCCGGGAUGAUAAUGACAGUACCGGGAGAAUAAGCUCCGGCUAACUCCGUG